rnacentral:rRNA from 1 species
CCUACGGGAGGCAGCAGUAGGGAAUAUUGGGCAAUGGACGCAAGUCUGACCCAGCCAUGCCGCGUGCAGGAAGAAGGCGUUAUGCGUUGUAAACUGCUUUUAUACAGGAAGAAACGACUCUUGCGAGAGGCAUUGACGGUACUGUAUGAAUAAGCACCGGCUAACUCCGUGCCAGCAGCCGCGGUAAUACGGAGGGUGCAAGCGUUGUCCGGAUUUAUUGGGUUUAAAGGGUGCGCAGGUGGUUUAUUAAGUCAGUGGUGAAAGACGGUCGCUCAACGAUUGCAGUGCCAUUGAAACUGGUAGACUUGAGUAAAGUAGAGGUGGGCGGAAUUGAUAGUGUAGCGGUGAAAUGCAUAGAUAUUAUCAAGAACUCCAAUUGCGAAGGCAGCUCACUUGGCUUUUACUGACACUCAUGCACGAAAGUGUGGGUAUCAAACAGGAUUAGAUACCCUGGUAGUCCACACUGUAAACGAUGAUAACUAGGUGUCGGCCGAAUCUGGUCGGUGCCACAGCGAAAGCGUUAAGUUAUCCAACCGUGGGGAGUUACGCCGGCAACGGUUGAAACGUUCAAAUUGAAUUGACGGCNGAGAGNGCGAGCGACGACGAGGAGGAGG